CACUCCCACUGUACCACCCUUGGUCAAGAGAACCAGGAAAGGCAGGAAAAGAUGCCUGAUGUAUUCAGUGUGACGUAUGCUGCGGUCAUCCUCACAAACCCCAGGCAGAAAGAAUCCAAUGAAGACAGGGUUGACAUCAGAACUGAAUAUGCAGCGAUCAGAACCACACAGUGAUGCCUUGCAUGGGGUGCCUUGUGAUGGACUGGCGUCCCGUCCGGGGUGUGUCCCC